GUGGGGAAUAUUGCGCAAUGGGCGGAAGCCUGACGCAGCGACGCCGCGUGAGGGAUGAAGGCCUUCGGGUUGUAAACCUCUUUCAGCAGGGACGAAUUCAGACGGUACCUGCAGAAGAAGCACCGGCCAACUACGUGCCAGCAGCCGCGGUAAUACGUAGGGUGCAAGCGUUGUCCGGAAUUAUUGGGCGUAAAGAGCUCGUAGGCGGUUUGUCGCGUCGGCUGUGAAAACUCGGGGCUCAACCCCGAGCCUGCAGUCGAUACGGGCAGACUAGAGUGCUGUAGGGGAGACUGGAAUUCCUGGUGUAGCGGUGAAAUGCGCAGAUAUCAGGAGGAACACCGGUGGCGAAGGCGGGUCUCUGGGCAGUAACUGACGCUGAGGAGCGAAAGCGUGGGGAGCAAACAGG
rnacentral:rRNA from 1 species